GACGAACGCUGGCGGCGUGCUUAACACAUGCAAGUCGAACGGAAAGGCCCUGCUUUUGUGGGGUGCUCGAGUGGCGAACGGGUGAGUAACACGUGAGUAACCUGCCCUUGACUUUGGGAUAACUUCAGGAAACUGGGGCUAAUACCGGAUAGGAGCUCCUGCUGCAUGGUGGGGGUUGGAAAGUUUCGGCUGUUGGGGAUGGACUCGCGGCUUAUCAGCUUGUUGGUGGGGUAGUGGCUUACCAAGGCUUUGACGGGUAGCCGGCCUGAGAGGGUGACCGGCCAAAAUGGGACUGAGAUACGGCCCAGACUACUACGGGAGGCAGCAGUGGGGAAUAUUGCACAAUGGGCGGAAGCCUGAUACAGCAACGCCGCGUGCGGGAUGACGGCCUUCGGGUUGUAAACCGAUUUCGCCUGUGACGAAGCGUGAGUGACGGUAAUGGGUAAAGAAGCACCGGCUAACUACGUG
rnacentral:rRNA from 1 species